CGAACAUCUGAAGAAAAGAGAUAUGAGUCAAGGAGUCAAGGGAGGCCCGGUGGUUCCGGAGUCCGUGUUGAAGAAGCGGAAGAGGGACGAAGAAUGGGCUUUGGCUGAGAAACAAGAUCUAGAGGCUGCGAAGAAGAAGAAUGCUGAGAACAGAAAACUGAUCUUUAACAGGGCUAAACUCUAUGCUAAAGAGUACGAUGAACAGCAAAAGGAAUUGAUUCGCCUGAAGCGCGAGGCUAAACUCAAGGGCGGAUUUUAUGUCGACCCUGAAGCCAAGCUUCUGUUUAUUAUCAGGAUCCGAGGUAUCAAUGCUAUUGACCCAAAGACCAAGAAGAUUUUGCAGCUUCUGCGUUUGAGACAGAUUUUCAAUGGUGUCUUUUUGAAAGUGAACAAGGCAACAUUGAACAUGUUGCACAGAGUGGAGCCUUAUGUUACAUAUGGCUAUCCUAACUUGAAGAGUGUUAAAGAACUCAUUUACAAGAGAGGCUUUGGAAAACUCAACAAGCGAAGAACUGCUUUGACUGAUAACUCCAUCAUCGAGCAGGCUCUUGGGAAGUUUGGAAUUAUUUGCGCUGAAGAUCUCAUCCAUGAGAUUAUGACAGUGGGACCCCAUUUUAAGGAGGCAAACAAUUUCCUCUGGCCCUUCAAGCUGAAAGCUCCUCUGGGUGGUUUGAAGAAGAAAAGAAAUCACUAUGUCGAAGGAGGCGAUGCUGGAAACCGUGAAAACUACAUCAAUGAGCUAAUCAGAAGGAUGAAUUAAGAUACUUUUUGUGUUGUUCUUUGAAGUUUUCUGCUGGGCGCUGGAAAAUUUCUCCUAAUAGGUUUGUCAUUUGAAGUAUCGUUUUUUGGAAUCAGAAUGUUUUGGUAUUUUCAUCAUUAGUGUACUCUUCUAUCCUCGGAAUUUUUAUCUUUGAG
rnacentral:misc_RNA from 1 species